CGCGUGACAUGAAUUAACGCGACUACGGAAAUGGUGGACAAGGUGAAUUUUAGCACAAAAACACGAUAUUUUGUCUAGUAUAGGCCCAGGGUAUAUUCGUGAUGUACGUAUCAACAAAACUACUAAGACAUAACAAAGAACAGACACUUUAGGAGGAAGACGGGAUUGUCAAAAAAGUGAAUUGAAUCAACUAUCAAGUGAAUAUAUGAACGAAGAGAGAGAAAAAAAUUAGACAAUCUUUAACAUUCGGAGGAAGACACAUGAGGCCCCCAUCAAGUUUAGAUGACAAGGUGACCCCCAAGUUACUUAAAUUGGAAGGUUUGAAGAGAACAUACAUCUGUAUCUGUGCUAAUAUGAUUGCUGCAACAGAGCAUGGCCAUGUUGCAAGACAAGAAAAUUACACUGACAUGUAUUUGGAACAUCUUGAAGAGUUCGAAAAAGUAAUCAUGAUUAAAGAAAUCAUUGUAUCUUUAAUAACAAGUUACUGGAUCAAGACAACUUGCAUCAUUCUGAAAUAUUGAUCAUAUUGUACAGAGAAGAUAUGAUCGAAUUACAAUAAGAUGAGGAAGAUGAACCAGAACUACUGUAAUUAUUUUUUCUAAUAUAGGCUGUGUAAUUGAUUAUGUCUAAUAGUUUGCAAGACAAUUAAGAGAAGAUAUACUGGAGUUUAGUUCAACAUUUUUCUGAAUAUUGAGAUAGCAUUAUCACAGUAAAAGAAAAUAUUGAUCAUAUUGUACAGAGAAGAUAUGAUCGAAUUACAAUAAGAUGAGGAAGAUGAACCAGAACUACUGUAAUUAAUUUUUCUAAUAUAGGCUGUGUAAUUGAUUACGUCUAAUAGUUUGCAAGACAAUUAAGAGAAGAUAUACUGGAGUUUAGUUCAACAUUUUUCUAAAUAUUGAGACAGCGUUAUUACAGUAAAAAAAAUAUUGAUCACAUUGUACAGAGAAGAUAUGAUCGAAUUACAAUAAGAGGAGGAGGAUGAACCAGAACAACUAUAAUUAAUUUUUCUAAUAUAGGCUGUGUAAUUGAUUAUGUCUAAUAGUUUGCAAGACAAUUAAGAGAAGAUACCGGAGUUUAGUUCAACAUUUUGCUAAAUUGUAACAGCGUUAUCACAAUAAUAAUAAUUUAAAAAAAAAACAAAGAGCGAUUGUAUUUUUAUCGGAAUAUCGAAGGAAUUUAACAAAUUAUUUUUAAUGAAAAGUU